UGGGGAAUAUUGCACAAUGGGCGCAAGCCUGAUGCAGCGACGCCGCGUGCGGGAUGGAGGCCUUGGGUUGUAAACCGCUUUGUUCAAGGGCAAGGCACGGUCUUUGGCCGUGUUGAGUGGAUUGUUCGAAUAAGCACCGGCUAACUACGUGCC
rnacentral:rRNA from 1 species